GAAAGCAUAGCUCAGUGGUAGAGUGUGUGCUUAGCAUGCAUGAGGUCCUGGGUUCAAUCCCCAGUACCUCCA
rnacentral:tRNA from 1 species